rnacentral:rRNA from 1 species
GUCCCAAGGGUUGGGCUGUUCGCCCAUUAAAGUGGUACGCGAGCUGGGUUCAGAACGUCGUGAGACAGUUCGGUCCCUAUCCGUCGCAGGCGUAGGAAAUUUGAGAAGACCUGUCCUUAGUACGAGAGGACCGGGAUGGACGUACCUCUGGUGUACCAGUUGUCCUGCCAAGGGCAUGGCUGGGUAGCUAUGUACGGAAUGGAUAAGCGCUGAAAGCAUCUAAGCGCGAAGCCAACUUCAAGAUAAGAUUUCCCACCGCAAGGGUAAGACCCCAGAAAGACUAUCUGGUUGAUAGGUCGAAGGUGUAAGUGCAGCAAUGUAUUUAGCUUAUCGAUACUAAUAGGUCGAGGACUUGACCAAU